rnacentral:rRNA from 1 species
CUGGCGGCGUGCUAACACAUGCAAGUCGAACGAGAAAGUGGAGCAAUCCAUGAGUACAGUGGCGUACGGGUGAGUAACACGUGACUAACCUACCCUCGAGUGGGGAAUAACCUCGGGAAACCGGGGCUAAUACCGCAUAACAUCUACGGAUCAAAUGCGUAAGCAGCUUGAGGAGGGGGUCGCGGCUGAUUAGCUAGUUGGCGGGGUAAUGGCCCACCAAGGCGGUGAUCAGUAGCCGGCCUGAGAGGGCGCACGGCCACACUGGAACUGAAACACGGUCCAGACUCCUACGGGAGGCAGCAGUGGGGAAUUUUGCGCAAUGGGGGAAACCCUGACGCAGUAACGCCGCGUGAAGGAUGAAGCCCCUUGGGGUGUAAACUCCUUUCGAUCGGGACGAUUAUGACGGUACCGGAUGAAGAAGCACCGGCUAACUCUGUGCCAGCAGCCGCGGUAAUACAGAGGGUGCAAGCGUUGUUCGGAAUUAUUGGGCGUAAAGGGUGCGUAGGCGGUGCGGUAAGUCUUCUGUGAAACCUCCGGGCUUAACUCGGAGCCUGCAGAGGAAACUGCCGUGCUG